GUACACAAAAAUGCACAUAUUGUGAGCUCGAUGAGUAGGGCGGGACACGUGGUAUCCUGUCUGAAUAUGGGGGGACCAUCCUCCAAGGCUAAAUACUCCUGACUGACCGAUAGUGAACCAGUACCGUGAGGGAAAGGCGAAAAGAACCCCGGCGAGGGGAGUGAAAAAGAACCUGAAACCGUGUACGUACAAGCAGUGGGAGCACGCUUAGGCGUGUGACUGCGUACCUUUUGUAUAAUGGGUCAGCGACUUAUAUUCUGUAGCAAGGUUAACCGAAUAGGGGAGCCGAAGGGAAACCGAGUCUUAACUGGGCGUUAAGUUGCAGGGUAUAGACCCGAAACCCGGUGAUCUAGCCAUGGGCAGGUUGAAGGUUGGGUAACACUAACUGGAGGACCGAACCGACUAAUGUUGAAAAAUUAGCGGAUGACUUGUGGCUGGGGGUGAAAGGCCAAUCAAACCGGGAGAUAGCUGGUUCUCCCCGAAAGCUAUUUAGGUAGCGCCUCGUGAAUUCAUCUCCGGGGGUAGAGCACUGUUUCGGCAAGGGGGUCAUCCCGACUUACCAACCCGAUGCAAACUGCGAAUACCGGAGAAUGUUAUCACGGGAGACACACGGCGGGUGCUAACGUCCGUCGUGAAGAGGGAAACAACCCAGACCGCCAGCUAAGGUCCCAAAGUCAUGGUUAAGUGGGAAACGAUGUGGGAAGGCCCAGACAGCCAGGAUGUUGGCUUAGAAGCAGCCAUCAUUUAAAGAAAGCGUAAUAGCUCACUGGUCGAGUCGGCCUGCGCGGAAGAUGUAACGGGGCUAAACCAUGCACCGAAGCUGCGGCAGCGACGCUUAUGCGUUGUUGGGUA
rnacentral:rRNA from 1 species